ACCAGACUCCUACGGGAGGCAGCAGUGGGGCCUCUUGGGCAAUGUUCGCCCGCCUGACCCCGCCCCGCCGCGUGCCGGAAGAAGGCUUUCGGGUUGUAAACUUCUUUUGACAGGGAAGAGCAGAAGACGGUACCUGUCGAAUAAGCCACGGCUAACUACGUGCCAGCAGCCGCGGUAAUACGUAGGUGGCAAGCGUUGUCCGGAUUUACUGGGGGUAAAGGGCGUGUAGCCGGGCUUACAAGUCAGAUGUGAAAUCCGGGGGCUCAACCCCCGAACUGCAGUUGAAACUGUAGGUCUUGAGGAGCGGAGAGGCAGGCGGAAUUCCUAGGGGAGCGGUGAAAGGCGGAGAUAUUAGGAGGAACACCAGUGGCGAAGGCGGCCUGCGGGACGACAACUGACGGUGAGGCGCGAAAGCGUGGGGAGCAAACAGGAUUAGAUACCCCAGUA
rnacentral:rRNA from 1 species